rnacentral:rRNA from 1 species
UACGGAGGGUGCGAGCGUUGUCCGGAAUCACUGGGCGUAAAGGGCGCGUAGGCGGCGCGGGCAGUCAACGGUGAAAGCUUGGGGCUCAACCCCGAGUCGGCCGUCGAUACUCCCGGGCUGGAGCACUGUAGAGGCAGGUGGAAUUCCGGGUGUAGCGGUGGAAUGCGUAGAGAUCCGGAAGAACACCCGUGGCGAAGGCGGCUCUCUGGGACGGUACUGACGCUGAGACGCGAAAGCGUGGGGAGCGAACAGG